UGGCUGUGAGGACUAACUACUUUGUUUCUCGAUGCUGACUUGAUUCAAUCAAUCAAGGACCAAAAAAUUUUGAUGACCUUUGUGCGUGUCUGAGCCAC
rfam:Oryza glumipatula chromosome 3, whole genome shotgun sequence.